GUAGGUGGCAAGCGUUGUCCGGAAUUAUUGGGCGUAAAGCGCGCGCAGGCGGUUCUUUAAGUCUGAUGUGAAAGCCCACGGCUCAACCGUGGAGGGUCAUUGGAAACUGGAGAACUUGAGUACAGAAGAGGAAAGCGGAAUUCCACGUGUAGCGGUGAAAUGCGUAGAGAUGUGGAGGAACACCAGUGGCGAAGGCGGCUUUCUGGUCUGUAACUGACGCUGAGGCGCGAAAGCGUGGGGAGCAAACAGGGAUUAGAUACCCUGGUAGUCCACGCCGUAAACGAUGAGUGCUAAGUGUUAGGGGGGUUUCCGCCCCCGUUUAGUGCUGCAGCUAACGCAUUAAGCACUCCGCCUGGGGAUACGGCCGCAAGGCUG
rnacentral:rRNA from 1 species